rnacentral:rRNA from 1 species
CCUACGGGAGGCAGCAGUGAGGAAUAUUGGUCAAUGGGCGCGAGCCUGAACCAGCCAAGUAGCGUGAAGGAUGACUGCCCUACGGGUUGUAAACUUCUUUUAUAAAGGAAUAAAGUGAGGCACGUGUGCCUUUUUGUAUGUACUUUAUCAAUAAGGAUCGGCUAACUCCGUGCCAGCAGCCGCGGUAAUACGGAGGAUCCGAGCGUUAUCCGGAUUUUUUGGGUUUAAGGGGGGCGUAGAUGGGUUGUUAAGUCAGUUGUGAAAGUUUGGGGCUCAACCGUAGAAUUGCAAGUGAUACUGGCAGUCUUGAGUACAGUUGAGGGAGGCAGAAUUCGAGGUGUAGCGGUGAAAUGCGUAGAGAUCACGAGGAACACCGAUUGCGAAGGCAGCUUACUAAACUGCCACUGACAUUGAUGCUCGAAAGUGUGGGUAUCAAACAGGAUUAGAUACCCGUGUAGUC